AGAGUUUGAUCCUGGCUCAGAUUGAACGCUAGCGGCAUGGCUAAAACAUGCAAGUCGAACGGUUAAAGCCUCUUCGGAGGUGUAUAAAGUGGCGCAAGGGCGAGUAAUGCGUUUCUAACGUGCCCCAGGGUCGGGGAUAGCCUCUCGAAAGGGAGGGUAAUACCCGAUGACCCCGCGAUGUCAUAUGGCGUUGCGGGCAAAGGCUUGCUGCCCUGGGAUCGGGAAACGUGAUAUCAGCUUGUUGGUGAGGUAAAAGCUCACCAAGGCUAAGACGUCUAGCGGGUGUGAGAGCACGACCCGCCGCAUCGGGACUGAGACACUGCCCGGACUUCUUCGGAAGGCUGCAGUAACGAAUAUUCCGCAAUGCGCGAAAGCGUGACGGAGCAAUGCCGUGCAGGAUGAAUCCCCUCGGGGUGUAAACUGCUGUCAGGGUCUAGGAACACAAUGACCAGACCCAAAGGAAGAGCCGGCUAACUCUGUGCCAGCAGCCGCGGUAAUACAGAGGGCUCAAGCGUUAAUCGGAUUUACUGGGCUUAAAGGGUGUGUAGGCGGGUAGGUAAGUGCUUUGUGAAAUCCCAUGGCUUAACCAUGGAACUGCUUGGCAUACUGCCUACCUUGAGGGCGGUAGAGGUUGCCGGAACUCUAGGUGUAGCGGUGAAAUGCGUAGAUAUCUAGAGGAACGCCCAAGGUGGAGACAGGCAACUGGGCCGUCUCUGACGCUGAGACACGAAAGCGUGGGUAGCGAACGGGAUUAGAUACCCCGGUAGUCCACGCCGUAAACGAUGUGCACUAAAUGGUGGGAGCUCUGACGCUCGCACGACUGAAGCAAAAGUGUUAAGUGCACCGCCUGGGGAGUACGGUCGCAAGAUUAAAACUCAAAGGAAUUGACGGGGGCUCACACAAGCGGUGGAGCAUGUGGCUUAAUUCGAGGCAACGCGAAGAACCUUAUCCUGGAUUUGACAUGCAUGGAUUAGCAUCUAGAAACAGUUGUGACACCCUUGCGGUGGAACAUGCACAGGUGCUGCAUGGCUGUCGUCAGCUCGUGCUGUGAAGUGUCGGGUUAAGUCCCUUAACGAGCGAAACCCCUAUCGUUAGUUGCCAGCGAGUAAUGUCGGGGACUCUAGCGAGACUGCCGGUGUCAAACCGGAGGAAGGUGGGGAUGACGUCAAGUCCUCAUGGCCUUUAUGUCCAGGGCUGCACACGUGCUACAAUGGUGCGUACAGAGCGACGCGAGACCGUAAGGUGGAGCAAAUCGCAAAAAGCGCGCCCCAGUUCGGAUUGUGGUCUGCAACUCGACCACAUGAAGUUGGAAUCGCUAGUAAUCGCG
rnacentral:rRNA from 1 species